GAUGAACGCUGGCGGCGUGCCUAAUACAUGCAAGUCGAGCGAAUGGAUUAAGAGCUUGCUCUUAUGAAGUUAGCGGCGGACGGGUGAGUAACACGUGGGUAACCUGCCCAUAAGACUGGGAUAACUCCGGGAAACCGGGGCUAAUACCGGAUAACAUUUUGAACCGCAUGGUUCGAAAUUGAAAGGCGGCUUCGGCUGUCACUUAUGGAUGGACCCGUGUCGCAUUAGCAAGUUGGUGAGGUAACGGCUCACCAAGGCAACGAUGCGUAGCCGACCUGAGAGGGUGAUCGGCCACACUGGGACUGAGACACGGCCCAGACUCCUACGGGAGGCAGCAGUAGGGAAUCUUCCGCAGUGGACGAAAGUCUGACGGAGCAACGCCGCGUGAGUGAUGAAGGCUUUCGGGUCGUAAAACUCUGUUGUUAGGGAAGAACAAGUGCUAGUUGAAUAAGCUGGCACCUUGACGGUACCUAACCAGAAAGCCACGGCUAACUACGUGCCAGCAGCAGCCGCCG
rnacentral:rRNA from 1 species